UCCGAAUUGGUGUAGUGGCUAACAUUUGACGCUCUCAAAACUCCCUUCCUUGUCUCCCGAGGGAGUACCGUCAAGCCCGGGGUUCGAUUCCCCGAUUCGGAG